AACACCCAUCAAGCCUAGCUUGGUAUUGGGCGACGGGACCUCCCCGCGCCCCGAUUUCGCCGGCUGGACGACCCUCACUCUCAGCGUUGUGAUGAAUCUCGCUGUCGAGACGGGCGGCCACGCCGUUAACCUCAAUCAAAUCA
rnacentral:misc_RNA from 1 species